UAAGAGUGAUGCUUUUCUUAAAGGGGAAU
rnacentral:piRNA from 1 species